rnacentral:misc_RNA from 2 species
GGACUACAAGGGUUUCUAAUCCUGUUUGCUCCCCACGCUUUCGCACCUCAGCGUCAGUAUCGAGCCAGUGAGCCGCCUUCGCCACUGGUGUUCCUCCGAAUAUCUACGAAUUUCACCUCUACACUCGGAAUUCCACUCACCUCUCUCGACCUCAAGAACAGGAGUUUCAAAGGCAGUUCCAAGGUUGAGCCCUGGGAUUUCACCUCUGACUUUCUGUUCCGCCUACGUGCGCUUUACGCCCAGUAAUUCCGAACAACGCUAGCCCCCUCCGUAUUACCGCGGCGGCUGGCAC